rnacentral:miRNA from 1 species
AGUCAUCAUACUCUCAGUUGAUA